UUCGAACCUAAUAUCGCAGGUGUCUUGCGUACCAAGGAACGCAACUCUGGCCAGCGAAUAGACGACUGGUACCAGUGUCCACAUGAUUUUAGCGUGACGGUAAAUUGUCUGAGGCCGAGUUCAAAACAUUCAUGAUCGACAUCUACAAGAAUUGCGUUCCUGGGAGUUAGAAAUGGCAAAUAAAGUCAUACAAACAACA